UUAGAUUAAAAUUAUGAAGGGUCCAGAUUAAAAUACUUUUGUGUUGCUUUCUUCUUCUUUUUUUCUCUUUUCCGCUCUCCUUCGUCUGAUUUGUCUUCUUUCAUUCUAUCUCUUUCUCUGUAACAAUCGACUCAUGCAUUCACCUCCUCACCGGUUUCACCUCCUCACCAUCACCACCGGUCGACCUCUGAUAUACCUUGGAUUUGACCCAUUUUUAUCCAUGGUAUAUAAGUGUUUUACUAUAUAUAUAUAUAUAUCUAUGUUUUCUACUCUUCUAGGUAUGUUUUCA
rnacentral:lncRNA from 1 species